ensembl:snoRNA SNORD29 Small nucleolar RNA SNORD29
UUUUGAUGAUGAAUACAACUAGCUCACUUUGAACAAAAUGAAACGUCAGGAACUGCCUGAAAAAC